rnacentral:rRNA from 1 species
AGCCUUUAGCCAAACUAGUAUUAAAGGUCCCGCCUGCGCAGUGAUAUUAUCUAACGGCCGCGGUAUUCUAACCGUGCAAAGGUAGCGUAAUCACUUGUCUUCUAAAUAAAGACCAGUAUGAACGGCUAAAUGAGGGCGGGCCUGUCUCUUGCUAUUAAUCAGUGAAUCUGAUCUCCCAGUACAAAAGCUGGAAUAUACACAUCAGACGAGAAGACCCUGUGGAGCUUAACACAUCUGUCAACAAGCGAACCACGCAACUGACAAAAAGUUUUAAGUUGGGGCGACUUCGGAGCAAAACAGAACCUCUGAGCACAGAACCUUACAUUCUUACCAAAGCCAACAAGCUGAAGUUAAAACUACUGACCCAGUAAUACUGACCAACGAACCAAGUUACUUCAGGGAUAACAGCGCUAUCUUCUUUAAGAGUCCAUAUCGACAAGAAGGUUUACGACCUCGAUGUUGGAUCAGGACACCCAAAUGGUGCAGCCGCUAUUAAUGGUUGGUUUGUUCAACGAUUAACAGUCCUACGUGAUCUGAG